CUUCGCGCUCCUCACCGACCUGUUGUGCGCAGAAAACGAACUGGGGGUGGGGUGGGGGAACAGGGCCCCAUCCCUAGCAGAGCCCCCAAACCCGCCAAUCCCACAGGCCUGCACUCCCUCCACAGGGCUGGAAAGCGGCGCGUGCCGGGAAAACCAGGAAAAGAUCGGCCAAGGGAUUCGGAGGCAGCACCCAGAGCGGAAAGGGGACCUGAGACAGGAGGAUGCCCGAAGCUGCAGGAUGAGCUAAAGGCGGGAUGGAGGCAGCCGCGGAGACGCUGAUUGCUGCACCAGGAGGAUUGGUGCCUAGCUCCGUCACCAUCAGAGGGGCUUCCUCUGGCAGCUGAUGGGAACAGAUGCAAAGACUCACAGCCAAACAUUAGGUGGAGUGCCAGAGUCCAAACUGGAGAUCCAUCAGAGCAAGGGGAUCCAACACCAAUGAAAAUGGGUGACCCAGGUGAUCCAGCCUCUCAGUGUCCCUCUCUUGAAGUUUCCUCAGUGUUCAACAUCCAGAAAAGCUUCAAGACUGCUGGCUGAGAUGGUUCAGCCACACAGACUAUUCUAGCCAGAACCGGAGCACAGAGCCUGGAUGACAAAUGUUAUGAAUAAUUUUCCCAGGACUUGACCACUAUCCCAGUUUUCUCAGGGUUUCCCCAAAGAUGUCAUCACCCUCAGAGAACAGAAAGCAGUCUAAAGAACAUGACGCCCGCAUUUCCAAGAGGUGGGGUGGGUGGUUUUUGGUCAUUUGAUGGGCUAUAAUUGUUUGUCAUCAUUUGGGGGUUGGUUACAAAUUAUUAUUGAUCAUGGUUGGGAAAAAGAUAAACAAAGGAGAUUAUAUCAGGGAUCUCUUUCUGAAGGGAAAAAGGGGGGAAUAUAAUAUGAAUAAAUGAUGGGAUAGAAGGGUAGAUUGUUGAGUUCUUUUAAACAACCACUAGUCUCAAAUAUUAUACAUUGGUAUGAAUUUUUGUAUAUUGAUAUAAAUUUAAGAUUAUUUUGCUA